rnacentral:tRNA from 1 species
GUGGCUAUCGUCUAGGGGUUAGGACACCUGGUUUUCAUCCAGGCAACCGGAGUUCGAUUCUCCGUAGCCAUACCA